CCUACGGGAGGCAGCAGUGAGGAAUAUUGGUCAAUGGACGAGAGUCUGAACCAGCCAAGUAGCGUGAAGGAUGACUGCCCUAUGGGUUGUAAACUUCUUUUAUAAAGGAAUAAAACGAGGCACGUGUGCCUUUUUGCAUGUACUUUAUGAAUAAGGAUCGGCUAACUCCGUGCCCGCAGCCGCGGUAAUACGGAGGAUCCGAGCGUUGUCCGGAUUUAUUGGGUUUAAAGGGAGCGUAGAUGGGUUGUUAAGUCAGGUGUGAAAGUUUGCGGCUUAACCGUAAAAUUGCAAUUGAUACUGGCAGUCUUGAGUACAGUUGAGGUAAGCGGAAUUCGUGGUGUAGCGGUGAAAUGCGUAGAUAUCACGAAGAACCCCGAUUGCGAAGGCAGCUUACUAAACUGUGACUGACAUUGAGGCUCGAAAGCGUGGGGAGCAAACAGGAUUAGAUACCCUUGUAGUC
rnacentral:rRNA from 1 species